AGUUUCCAUCGUGCUUCCGAUCUUGGAAGCUCGUCAAGAACCCCUUCGAGUCUUUAAAAUGCUUCAACGACCGCUUUGAGCGUUCAAAAAUUGUUCGUAACAGCCGAACGAACGAGACCGAGAAACUGGGAGAAGGAUUGGUAAAAAGGAGGGAAGGAAAGAGGCGGGAAGAAGACGGUUUCAGGCGGUCUCCUAUUUUAACCGGCAUAUAAAUUACGAACGGUGAGUCGACCGAAGGAGACCGAAAAAGAGAAAGAGAGGGAAAGAAAUCGUUCUUGUCUUUUUGGUGCAUCGCGAGAGCAUCGCGCGACGACGUACGCGUCGAGGGUGUUGGCGCGCACGAAUCGACUAUUUUCGGGCGGAGGAUAUUUUUAAGCCCCGUUUGGAGCACGAACGACCGAUUUCCAAGGAGAAAGAAGCUCGUUUCCCGCCCCCGUGCCUCACGUCGAAUAAACCAAGAGGGGGACACGCAGUCGACGACCGUCACGGCCGAUCGAGAAAGAAAACGCAUCGGAUGUGUGCCGUCUUCUUUGCCUCUUUGUAUCGUCUUCUUCGUCUCUACUGGCCGGGAAACAUCGCUCGCACCCAACUAAUUAAGCCUGGCCAUUGAAAAACGCGCCACAGAAUUUUCUUGCCGUCUGUUUUUCGUCCGAAUCUCCGCGAGUUAGGUUAUUUUACCUCGUCGUGAUUUCCUUCGAGUUACCGCGAUUCUCUAACUAUGUUUAUUAUCGCAAGAAACGUAUCGAUUCGUUCGUCGGAGCAACGAAUGGGGAAUUCUAAUCUAACAAUCUGACCACUAUACGCGUAUACUUGCUCCUUCGUACUACUACUACGCGCGUUUGAUGACGACUAUUAGAAACUCUUUUCCACAAUUUCGCAAUUUUUAGCUGACGUUGCACGUUCGAGCGGCUACUAGACACGUAAACUACACACGCUGACUCGAAUCCGCAGCGAACGAUCUUAAGAGCAACGUGUGAUCUUAGUGACAAUUUUAUUGGCUCUACCUGGCAGAUUAAAAGCGAGUCAGCGAUCGAGAGACGUUAACCGCUUCUCGCUUGGAAAUUCAAGCAAGGCGCGUUACCAACUCCGAGGAGACGAAACGCGAAUCGAAAGGCAGUUAUUUGGUCGUAUUAUCCGGCACGUUGGCUCUUCCCUACAGUUAUACGAGUUUCAGGUAGUUUCGGGAUUUUUACAGCAACGGAUAUCGCUUGGACAGGAGGGUGUUACGGCCUAUCGGUAAAACGGUGUGCCUUGUCGCGUUUUCUCGAGAAGCACCACUAAAAAAAAAGAAAAGAAGAAAAGUUUCGUCGUAAAGCCGAUUUAAUAAAACUGCCACAACCUGACUCGCGUCACGGCCCCUUAUUAAUUCUCUCGAGUGGACGACCGACGAGCAUUCGUUCGAUUCUUCGAGCAACCGUGAUACGAAGGUUUCGUUAAUUACCACGGGAACGCGUCAACGAAGAUGCCUUCGCCGGUUAAUUUCCCGCGAGAGACGGUACCGCGACACGAUCGAUUCAAUUUUUCAGAACGAUAAGUCCGACCGGAACGGAAAUCACUCGGAUGAUUCAUUCGCCUUGAUGUUCCAUUUGCUCGACGACUUUUAAUCAUU
rnacentral:misc_RNA from 1 species